rnacentral:rRNA from 1 species
AUGAAAGCCCUAUUCUGGAACGUUAGAGGUUUCGCCGCUAGGGGGCGUCGAGACCAGAUUCAUGUUUUGGUUUGCGGGGAUAACAUUGACAUUUUAGGCUUAGUGGAAACUUUUAAAGAAUCCUUCUCUCCUUCUGAAUUGUCUGCGGUUGCAGGCAUGGACAGAUUUGAUUGGCAUUUUCUUCCUGCCUCGGGUCAUUCUGGAGGUAUUUUGACUGGAUCCAAACGGGACGUGUUCGACUUCAUUACUUUUGACCACGGUAUUUUUUGGGCAAGUGUGGUGGUUCAUCACCCACAGUUAAACACCUUAUGGGAAUGCCUAGUAGUUUACGGGCCCGCUGACCAUUCACUUACGUCCAUUUUCCUUGAUGAGCUUUAUCAUAAGAUUGAAUCUUGCUAUUUACCUUUAUUGAUUGGUGGUGAUUUCAAUCUUUUGCGCACUCCGGCUCACAAGAACAAUCGCAACUUUUCUUGGCCCCUUGCCGAUGCCUUUAAUGAGUUCAUUAGCAACUGUGCGAUUCGUGAAUUACCGAGGGUGGGGGGCCGGUUCACUUGGUCCAAUCAUCAGGCUAACCCUGUCCGGUCGGUGCUGGACCGGGUUUUUGUCUGUGAUAGAUGGGACUCCCUUUUCCCUCGGCCUUGUUGA